ensembl:piRNA 21ur-4763 ncRNA
UUGUACGCCAUCGAAUCCAAU